rnacentral:rRNA from 1 species
UGGCUGUCGUCAGCCCGUGUCGUGAGAUGUUGGGUUAAGUCCCGUAACGAGCGCAACCCUUGUCCUUAGUUACCAGCACCUCGGGUGGGCACUCUAAGGAGACUGCCGGUGACAAACCGGAGGAAGGUGGGGAUGACGUCAAGUCAUCAUGGCCCUUACGGCCAGGGCUACACACGUGCUACAAUGGUCGGUACAAAGGGUUGCCAAGCCGCGAGGUGGAGCUAAUCCCAUAAAACCGAUCGUAGUCCGGAUCGCAGUCUGCAACUCGACUGCGUGAAGUCGGAAUCGCUAGUAAUCGUGAAUCAG